rnacentral:rRNA from 1 species
UACGUAGGGUGCAAGCGUUGUCCGGAUUUAUUGGGCGUAAAGAGCGUGUAGGCGGCCAGGUAGGUCUGGUGUGAAAACUCGAGGCUUAACCUCGAGAUGUCAUCGGAAACCAUCUGGCUAGAGUCCGGAAGAGGAGAGUGGAAUUCCUGGUGUAGCGGUGAAAUGCGCAGAUAUCAGGAAGAACACCAAUGGCGAAAGCAGCUCUCUGGACGGUACUGACGCUGAGACGCGAAGCGUGGGAGCGAACAGG